rnacentral:misc_RNA from 1 species
AAGAGUUUUAUAACUCCCAAACCCAUGUGAACAUACCUUCUGUUGCCUCGGCAGGGCGCGGGGGCCCCGGGCUUGCCCUGGGACCGCCGCGGCUCACCCUGCCGGUGGCCCUGAAAACUCUGUUUAGUACCUGACUUCUGAAAUCAUAACUAAAUAAGUUA